AAAUACCCAAAAAUCACUCUAAAAAUGGUGAGACUGUACGUACUGCUCCCCCAACUUUCUACGAAGGCUAUACAUAUUGCUCCCCAAUUCAUUACGGAGUGUCUUGUUAUGUUUUUUCUAUAAAAAUUGCCCAGAAGUCAUAUCACUAAAAUAUUCGGGGGUUCACACAAAAAACUAUGAAAAUCAUCUAGUUUCUAUUAAAUGACUUCUAAAUGUCCAAAAAUAUCAUGGAUCAUGGUGAAGUUAUACAUACUAAUACCUCAACUCAUUAUAGAGGUUCCCC
rnacentral:lncRNA from 1 species